GUCAUGGUAUUUUGGCGUUGUGGUGCCGCACCUCUGAAAUCUAAUAUUGUAUUAAUAAAAAAUAAAAAAUAAAAUUUAUUUACAUGUUAUUUAGUAAUGGCAUCGAAAAUGUAGUAAAAUUGGAUUAAAUACAAAUCACUCAUCCACCAAGUAUUACCCGUUGUAGGUAACAAAAAUUUAAGAAUUAAAGCACGUAACUGAUUUCUUCUGUUUUAUAGUAUUAGGUUCCUUACCUUGUGUAUUAAUAAAAAAAAUCUUUUUUUUCUAUAGGUCACCAGACACCUGUAUUUUCCGCAUUUUGUUCCAUGAGUAAAGUGACAUGAGUUAGUCUGGGAUUAAAUAAUCUGGUCGGUAUCGUAGAUAUCACGUACGUCUUCCACCCCUAUACAGUACAUGUUAGGUAUAUAUUUUCUCUUAUGUAUGGACUGUGAAAAGUAAUAACAUAAAAUAUAUUAUUUUAAUUUAAUUUUCAGUAAUGCAGAUGAAUUUGUUCUUAUACCAGUUUCUCCCACUACUAGUGCUAUUCAGACUAUAGAUGAAGACGACGGAUGACAAUUAAUAAUGGGAAUGGGGUGGAUUUGAAAUAAACGAACUGGAUAAUCCACCUCUCACCGUUGAAUAUCAUCCAUAUCCGUUGCAACUCAGCGAAGUGGUCCCUGGACGAUCCAUUGUGAAUUGCAUCAUUUUUGCUCCCGCAGGUGGAGUCCAUAUCGAAACACCUUAAAGUAUGUAGGUACAACAGGUCGAAUGAAAAUACAGAAUAUUUGUACAGGGCUUUCCUGUAUGUGGGCGUAUGAAUGUGAAAAAUGUGGCGCUGAAGAAAAUGUCACAACAGAUGAAAAAAUUGUACUCAAUUGUGAAAUUAACACUGCGUUAGUAUGGGUAGCUGUGGCCACUGGAAUAGGUCACUCACAAGUAGAGGAGCUUAUGGUAGUUCUGAAUGUACCCAACGACGUCAAAAGUGUUUAUAAAAGAAGAGAAGAGAAUUGAAAAGGCAGGGGCUCGUGAUGUAAAUGGGCGAAGCGUUGCCAGACAAGUCUGCUCCAAGGUCGCUGAAUACGUCACUCGUCCCUAUGCGAGGGAAGGUAUGAGUGCAACGAUUGGCAGCAGUGACGCCGGGCCACGGGCACCCUGUCGGCCGGUGUCAGGAGUCCCCGGCCUGGAUCGUCUCUUCGCGGAGACAACAGCAGCACCGCCCCGGGCCGUCCUGCAGGGCGGAAGGAACAUAUACUUUAGCACUUGUUUGUUGCUGAGAAUGUUAGCUACAUUUUAUAUUGGUAAUUCCUUUCCUAAUGAUUUUACAGUAAUUUUGAAUGUCACUAACCUAUACCUAACUUAACCAUUUGAUAAAAUGAUAAACUACUUAAAGUAUUACAA